AACAAACGCUGGCGGCGUGCCUAACACAUGCAAGUCGUACGAGAAAGUCCGCUUCGGUGGAUAAGUAAAGUGGCGCACGGGUGAGUAACGCGUGGAUAAUCUACCCUCUAGUUGGGAAUAACUCAUCGAAAGGUGGGCUAAUACCGAAUGAUACUACAUAACUACUGUUGUGUAGUCAAAGAAGGCCUCUGUUUACAAGCUUUUGCUGAAGGAUGAGUCCGCGUACCAUUAGCUAGUUGGUAGGGUAAUGGCCUACCAAGGCGACGAUGGUUAGCUGGUCUGAGAGGAUGAUCAGCCACACUGGAACUGAGACACGGUCCAGACUCCUACGGGAGGCAGCAGUGAGGAAUAUUGCGCAAUGGGGGCAACCCUGACGCAGCAACGCCGCGUGAGUGAGGAAGGUUUUCGGAUCGUAAAGCUCUGUCGAGCGGGAAGAAAUGUGUGGUGGCUAAUAUCCAUCAUGCUUGACGGUACCGCUAAAGGAAGCACCGGCUAACUCCGUGCCAGCAGCCGCGGUAAUACGGGGGGUGCGAGCGUUGUUCGGAAUUAUUGGGCGUAAAGAGCGUGUAGGCGGCUUGAUAAGUCAGAUGUGAAAGCCCUGGGCUUAACCCAGGAAGUGCAUUUGAAACUGUCAGGCUUGAGUAUGGGAGAGG
rnacentral:rRNA from 1 species